rnacentral:rRNA from 1 species
UACGUAGGGCGCGAGCGUUGUCCGGAAUUAUUGGGCGUAAAGAGCUCGUAGGCGGCUUGUCACGUCGGGUGUGAAAGCCCGGGGCUUAACCCCGGGUCUGCAUUCGAUACGGGCUGGCUAGAGUGUGGUAGGGGAGAUCGGAAUUCCUGGUGUAGCGGUGAAAUGCGCAGAUAUCAGGAGGAACACCGGUGGCGAAGGCGGAUCUCUGGGCCAUUACUGACGCUGAGGAGCGAAAGCGUGGGGAGCGAACAGG